CAAAAGCACACGGGGCGAUGCUGUCUCAGGUGCUUUGAUUCUGAUUUUUCGAGACCACUGACAAAAAGGUGAAGCUGCGUGCAGACAAGAAAGGAUUCAGGCUCUUUCAGCCCUUAGGUUACACGGUCCUCCACUUCCCACCCAGGUCUCCUCCUCACCUUUCCACAUCUCCCAGCACUGCUGAUGCCAGCACUCAGCCCCACAUCCCGCCCCACAGCUGCAGCACUGCUGCUCUCGGCCCAACUCCCAGCACAGGGCACCCUCCACUCUUGGGUUUUCUUUACUGUUCUUUUCCUUUCCCAUCCCUUUCCUAUUCCUUUCUCAUUCCUUUCCCCUUCCUACCCCUUCCUUUCCCCUUCCUCUUCCUAUUCCUCUUCCUUUCCCAUUCCCGUUCCACCCCUACCCCAUUCUACUCCCCCCCCGUGUCCAGCCAGUGCGUCCCCCAGCCACCCGAGCACCCAUUGACCACCACAGAGACGAGCCCAGACACCAGCUCUUCUGCUGGCUACAGAAGUACAGGUGAGGGUGGCCAAACCACAUCAAACAGAGCCUUCAGUGUGGGGCUGGGGCAGACGAUGGGGUUUCCCCCAGGUACCUGGGAACAGGAGCUGCAGCCUAACCUUUGCAGGCAGCUCUGGGCACACUGCAGUGACCCGGCCCACAUGCCCCAGCUAUUUCCAGCCUCCCCAACUCACACGGACACCCAGCACGUGGCUGCACAGAGUGAACAGAUUUAGAAGCAGGUCACACUGGAGGAACAUAAAUAAAAUCUGGAAAAACCUGGAGCUGUAACUGAUAUCCAUGCACCUGAUUUCCCUUGAUGGUAAAAAAUAAUAAAGAAAUAAAAUAAACAAACUAAACCCAGCACCUGACCGUGCUGCCAUUGUUUCCUGCUCAGGGGGGAGGGCUGCCUGCAGCUCCCAGAGCGAUGCCAUCAUCCUGUCCCCUCCCGUCCCAGGCUGCUGCCUCCGAUUCCGGCUGCUGCAGAGCAGGACUGAGGCUCACCGCUCUGUUUUCCACUCCAUUACCCAGCCUUCACCCUCUAAAGACGUGCAAGGGAAUGCAGCAUCUGCUCCCAAUGAGGGGGAAGAGAGACGGAGGUUUGCUCUCUGCUGCCAGCAGGCCUGGCCCCCACGUGGCUCCCAGCAUCCUGCAUGCCCUGCAAACACCGCUGUGUCACCCCACGGCCAGGCUUUGAUGCAAGCAGAAAAGAGUUGGGAGCUCACACACUGAACCAGGCUGAUCCUCCUCCACCCUUUUGUUUUUGAGGACGGUGCAAGGAUUCCUGGGUUCAAACAUCCUGGCACGGCUCCCGCAGGGCUGCUGGGCACACUUUGUACCCUGGUGACAAAUGCAGCACAAGAAAGGAAUUAUGGUGAUGAGCAUGGGUGUGUCGAGCAGCACAGCCCCAGUGCCUCCCCACUGCUGGGGGUCAGUGGGAGACGGGGCACUGCAGAAGGAAUGAGGUUAAGCAGCAGCACUCCAAAACCACACAUCUUUUCCUUCCCCAUGGUCAAUUUUCACCUGGAAUCACACCCAAACCUCUGCACCCGGGGAGCUGCUGCCUUUGUGACCUCUGUUCUGACAUUGCAAACCUUUGCCUCUUUGAUGCAAAGAUGCACUUUGCUUCUGGUCUGAAAGGAAAAGCUCAGCUGUGAGCUCUCCAAACAGGGCGCGGUGCAGCGCUAUCGGACUUUCACUGCACGCCUCAUUGCCCAACGUAAUGGCGGGGCGCACGGGGCUGCAGGCCAGGCCCCCAGUGAAGGCAAACUGCAGGAAGGAUGAGGGCAGGCUAUCCCCUGCUAAGGGCAGGGGGAACCACAGACCACCCUGGCUCAACAGAUUGCUUUGGGGUGUGCUCUGAAGCAUACGCGUGGCUCUGCAACUGCAGCCACACACCCACCAGGGACAGUGAG
rnacentral:lncRNA from 7 species